rnacentral:rRNA from 1 species
GCAGGCCUAAUACAUGCAAGUCGGACGGGAUCCAUCGGAGAGCUUGCUCGAAGAUGGUGAGAGUGGCGCACGGGUGCGUAACGCGUGAGCAACCUACCUCUAUCAGGGGGAUAGCCUCUCGAAAGAGAGAUUAACACCGCAUAACAUCAACAGUUCGCAUGUUCGGUUGAUUAAAUAUUUAUAGGAUAGAGAUGGGCUCGCGUGACAUUAGCUAGUUGGUAGGGUAACGGCUUACCAAGGGGACGAUGUCUAGGGGCUCUGAGAGGAGUAUCCCCCACACUGGUACUGAGACUCGGACCAGACUCCUACGGGAGGCAGGAGUAAGGAAUAUUGGUCAAUGGGCGGAAGCCUGAACCAGCCAUGCCGCGUGCAGGAUGACUGCCCUAUGGGUUGUAAACUGCUUUUGUCCAGGAAUAAACCUAAAUACGUGUAUUUAGCUGAAUGUACUGGAAGAAUAAGGAUCGGCUAACUCCGUGCCAGCAGCCGCGGUAAUACGGAGGAUCCGAGCGUUAUCCGGAUUUAUUGGGUUUAAAGGGUGCGUAGGCGGCCUAUUAAGUCAGGGGUGAAAUACGGUGGCUCAACCAUCGCAGUGCCUUAGAUACUGAUGGGCUUGAAUCCAUUUGAAGUGGGCGGAAUAAGACAAGUAGCGGUGAAAUGCAUAGAUAUGUCUUAGAACUCCGAUUGCGAAGGCAGCUCACUAAGCUGGUAUUGACGCUGAUGCACGAAAGCGUGGGGAUCGAACAGGAUUAGAUACCCUGGUAGUCCACGCCCUAAACGAUGAUAACUCGAUAUUGGCGAUAGACAGCCAGUGUCCCAGCGAAAGCGUUAAGUUAUCCACCUGGGGAGUACGCCCGCAAGGGUGAAACUCAAAGGAAUUGACGGAGGCCCGCACAAGCGGAGGAGCAUGUGGUUUAAUUCGAUGAUACGCGAGGAACCUUACCCGGGCUUGAAAGUUAGUGAAGAGUGCAGAGACGCACUCGUCCUUCGGGACACGAAACUAGGUGCUGCAUGGCUGUCGUCAGCUCGUGCCGUGAGGUGUUGGGUUAAGUCCCGCAACGAGCGCAACCCCUAUGUUUAGUUGCCAGCAUGUNANGGUGGGGACUCUAAACAGACUGCCUGUGCAAACAGAGAGGAAGGUGGGGACGACGUCAAGUCAUCAUGGCGCUUACGUCCGGGGCUACACACGUGCUACAAUGGAUGGUA